CACAUGAGAGAGGAGCAGGCAGAGGAAGUCCUCAAAUUCUUCAUCCUGCCCUUCCUGUCCAGAAACUCCUCAGACUCUGGAUGCAUCUCCAACAACAGCAUGGCAUGGCUUCUCAACAACUAUGGGAGAUUCUCUGUCCUCGUCCCACUCAAAAGUCUAUUUGAUCUCAAUAAGGACUUUGAUCCACUGGCAGUAUUGGAUCUUCUCAGUCCUAAGCAGACGGCUGAGUUGAUGGUUCUGCCUCUCCCUCAUCCCCAAGGCAAAGAUGAGGUCAUCAACAGAGUGCUGGAUCACCUGCUGGAGUCACCAGUGG
rnacentral:lncRNA from 1 species